rnacentral:misc_RNA from 1 species
GAUGAAGAACGCAUCGAAAUGCGAUAAGUAAUGUGAAUUGCAGAAUUCAGUGAAUCAUCGAAUCUUUGAACGCACAUUGCGCCCGCCAGUAUUCUGGCGGGCAUGCCUGUCCGAGCGUCAUUUCAACCAUCAAGCCCCCGGGCUUGUGUUGGGGACCUGCGGCUGCCCGCAGGCCCUGAAAACCAGUGGCGGGCUCGCUGUCACACCGAGCGUAGUAGCAAUCACCUCGCUCAGGGCGUGCUGCGGGUUCCGGCCGUUAAACAGCCUUACAAACCCCAAGGUUGAUCUCGGAUCAGGUAGGAAGACCCGCUGAACUUAAGCAUAUCAAUAAGCGGGGA